rnacentral:rRNA from 1 species
UACGGAGGGUGCAAGCGUUAUCCGGAUUUAUUGGGUUUAAAGGGUCCGUAGGCGGGUUCUUAAGUCAGUGGUGAAAUCCUGCAGCUUAACUGUAGAACUGCCAUUGAAACUGAGAGUCUUGAGUGUGGUUGAGGUAGGCGGAAUGUGUAGUGUAGCGGUGAAAUGCUUAGAUAUUACACAGAACACCGAUUGCGUAGGCAGCUUACUAAGCCAUAACUGACGCUGAUGGACGAAAGCGUGGGUAGCGAACAGG